rnacentral:lncRNA from 1 species
GGCAGGCUGCGGAGCAAUGAACAAUUGGCAAACCAGCAGCACCAGAAGCAAUUUCGAGACGCUGUUAAUCCACGGGAGAGCUGCUGCCACGGGCGAGGUCGACAACGGCGAAGCCAUCCUCCCCGGUUUCACUUGGCAUGCAUGUUGCCAGCAGCAGGUGCAUGUAGCAGGUUCCAUGUAACGGCAUAUCGUUUAGUUGUUUGACAGCAUAGUAAUGUGGUUAACAACCAGCAGCCGGCGCCGAAACGGCGACGCAAUAAUGCGGAGGGCAAGGGCUCAAGAGGUAAUACCUGCCUGCGCCACCGCAGCUGCUAACUGGCUCCUACUGGCGUAAUAACCCAGUCCUCGCUUGGUGACAACUAUUGCCCGUGGUAGCGCUGAAGAGAGCGUUGUAUUUGCGACUAAGUCUCUCGCGCGCUGUCUCUGAAGGGAAACGUCUGAAAAGGAAGCGAAAGGAAGCCGCUUAUCCUACUGCUGACGAGUUGCCUUAUUAGAUGCUACGUCGUCAAAAUGAAGUGGUUAUGCCCUCUUUGAAGUACUGACGUAAUUAAGUCGUCUUUGGGCAACUUCAGAAAUUUACAUGCAUGGUCAGGACUUAUA